UUACGCGAAGAAGACCGUGAAAGGAUCGUUGCGUCGGCUCAGUUGAACCCGAACGCUCGACACGCGAGGCGUUGUAAUUAUUUUCGAACGUCGGCGAAAAACACACGAGUUAAUUAACGACCACCGUGUCGUUUCAACGAAUAACGUGACACCCUAGUAAGUGUCCAUUGAUAAACAUGAUUAUUCGGUUAACUACUAAAGAACAGUUUCAAGAGCUUCGCGAAUAUCAAUAGCUUAGACUGCGGAAACUCAUGCAAAAUUGAUUGGAGGAUUUUUUCUGGCAAGAGGAAAGUUCACGGACAGUCACGCGAUCAUCGCGUAACGCUGAUACAUAAUAUUGCUCACGAGAGUCGUUUAAUCGUUGCGAAAUGAUGCGAAGAAAAAAAGCGAAUUACAACUGUACAUGACGCAACGAGAUUUCCCUUUCAUUAAGGAAUCUACUCCACUUGACAUUGACAGCGGAGACAACUGAUCGACAGGCACUUUACACGAUUUUCGAAUUGCAAUAAAUACAUAAUUUAGAAUACUUUUGUUUACCGUUGUUUAUGUGAAUUUUAAGCGUCGGUGUUUCUUCUGAAAGGUGAAGACAUAGCGCACGAAACGAAAAUAAAAGAAAUACGUCGUGCUUUCUUUUAUGUAAAUGAAUAAACAAAGAUAUAAUUAUUAGGUCGUGUAUUAUGAAAUGUUAGAUAUUUUAUGGGAAAAAGGAAACCUUAUUUGAUGUUUUAAAUGACAUUUAUUUGAUCAAAAUAUAUACCAUUCGAUUCGAUACACUUCUGCCAACGUGUUUUUAAUGAACAUAUUCAAUUUCUCGCAAAAUUCUGCGGCUCAUUUUGCGAAUAAAUACCACCGAAACGAAAUUUUGCUGCAUUGUUCUUUCAUUCACGGUUUUGUCCACAAAUGCUUUGUUUAUAUUUUGGACCGGUUUUGCAGCAUUAUUUCCACGUUUGAAUUCACAUAAGACAAUUACACGAACUUUGCCGGUAUCCAUGUUUUCGAGAAACGACGCAGGAAAUAGUUAUUAUGCACAGUUCGGAAAAACUUUUCUGCAGAAAGUUACUCUGAACAAAAAUAAAGGAAUAAAAACAGGAGUACAAAGAUUUACGUAUUAAAAGAUCCGACAUUUCAUAUUGCACGAUCCAAUACAUGUAAUAACAUAAAAGAAAAAUCAAUAAUUUUUCUCCGCGGAAAUAUUCAAUUCGCAUUUAGAACAAGUUUUUGCGCUUGUUGUUUUGCAUCUUGCUGGCGAGUAGUCGGCACAAUGGCCCCAUUGGUGAGACGUUAGAUACGAAUUAGUAGAAUCAUCCGAUGCAAGAUACUGGAUAAUAUGGUCUGACCGCGUCACAUUGAAAACAUCAGAAUUUAUUUAUGUAAAUCGAGAACCAAUGACGCAACUCACGUGUGCAACCGUGACCACGGAAACGUGUAAAGAUUUUUACACUGCAUAUUCAUUACGUACUUCCAGUUAAAACGUACAUCAACGAUUUUAAUAAAACAUCGUUGCUGGCGUGUAUUACACAUUAGUGUAAAUACCGAGGGCAGCAUCGAAUGUUCCGAUAAUUAUAUUUAAUCACUGAACCUUCGCGUAACUCAUAUAAUUUCCUUACUUUCGUAUUCGUCGGAGAACUUUUUACCGGGUCGUAAAGAGGUUAUUAAGUAUUAGGUUACGUACGUUUACCGAUCGUCCGAUUGACCUAAACAUUUGUAAAUCUACAGUAUACAGCGGAUUUCUGUCGCUGUUACGAGUGUACUCAUUUGCUUUUUUAAACGAGUUCCCUUGUUUUUGCUCGUUUCGCUUGAAACUCGUAUAUUACGUCGAGAUCAGGAGACCAAAUUCCUGAAUUUUAUUUUUUCUUUCAAAUAUCCGAGUGUCUCGAAGAAUCGCGGCUAAUCGAAGUACACUGAAGUAGAACCGUUGCAAAAAGAGAUAAUAACGGUGGACAAUUCGAUCUACAACUGUAACAUGUGAUUCCAUUACUUUGAGAAGCCGAGGUUAAUUUUCCGACGAUUUUUAUUCCACUUUAUUUGCAAGAUAACGCGAUAACGUUGAUUGAUUUAUUGAACUGUAAUUAACAUUUAUAUUGGGCAAGUGUAAAUCACCACCUACUCGAAAUCUCUAUUUGCCAAUGGUACUUAUGAUAAAAAUAUGGGUUAAUUACACUUUUGGCGUUUGUUAUCGCCAAUGUGACUUAUUGAACGUGUUAGUGCAAUAAAUGAAAUUGCAUUAUUAUAAGCAGAAUAUAGAGAAACCUAUAACGGAAACAGUUGAGAAUUCGUAUCGCUUUUUAAUCGAAUAUUGUAUGGUACACACAAUAAAAAUUGUUUUUUUCAGAAUUUCAUUCGAGGGAAGCCGAUAUUUAGCAAAACAUAGACAUUACAUUAAGAAAAUCGAGUUUCUUGUAACUUUUUGUAAGAAACUAUAGAAUAUUUGGAAAACCUGAUACAUUAUAACCUCACAUUUUUUUACUGUGUUUCUAGUUUGCCGAUCAUACACAUUCUGAAACUUUUAACGUUAUAUUUAUUGUUUAUUAUUCGCUGAAUAAUAUGCAAUUACAACUGGUCGUAAGAUCGAUUUCCUUACCAAUGAACUAUUAUUAGUAUUAUUUGGAGAAAAAAUCGUGCCCUUCGCUAACACACUCUAGCGGUGGGCCCACCAUGUUUGAAACAAGCGUCUGCUUCUGCGAAGCCACGAGCCAGUCGUCACGACAAUAUAGAAGUAAACACAGCUAGCCUUGAAAUAACACGAGGUUUAUCUAAAACGACCAAUUCGUCGUUUCCAACGCGAUUUCGAAUAGGCCUGAUAAAGGGUUCUGCUGAUAUGGGAACAGAUAACGAAAGUCGUAUAUUUCAUCUUCCGCAAUAAUUCAACCUUCAGAGAGUCCAACCGAUUUCCUACGCAUGUGGACGAACGAUUUCCUAAUUCAUUAAUCGAACGGUUCUUUUAUAAAUGGUAUUAAAAACAAUUCAUAUUAUAAUAGGAAUAUUACAACAAAACGAGAUCGGAGAAUUCUCUAGUAAAGGGAUAAGAAAAAGUAGAAUAAUCACAGGAUAUAGAAAAUAUAUAUAUACCGUCUUCGAAGAACGUUUUAGAAUUAUAAUAUUCAGAGAUGUUAAUUGCGAAUCGUAUACACACACUGGAUCAUUAUGAAUAUAAUGGAUUAUCAUCAUCGACGUACAAAGCGUGCGUAUGUAUAUAUAUAUACAUGUGUACAUGUAAUAGCAGUAGAGAAAGUGUGAUAUAAUCUUUAAUCACAAUCCACGUGGCUAACCUUCGUAUAUAAGGUAUCAAGUUUAUCAUGCGCGGCAUCGUUUAUUUAAGACCCACGAGUCAAAUUAUUCCAUCGGCCGAAAAAAAUAUGGUAAG